UCUCCGUUGGUGAACCAGCGGAGGGACCAUUACCAAGUUUUUCUAAUCCCACACCCCUGUUAACUUUUACCUUUACUGGUGCUUCGGCGGGUUAACGCUCCGGAAGGCCCAAAAGUCCACUGUAACCAGGCGCCCGCCGGGGAACCAAAAUUUUUGUAUUUCUUACUUUGUAUGUCUGAGUGUAAUCAUAAACAUAUGAAUCAAAACUUUCAACAACGGAUCUCUUGGUUCUG
rnacentral:misc_RNA from 1 species